rnacentral:rRNA from 1 species
GACGAACGCUGGCGGCGUGCCUAAUACAUGCAAGUGGAACGCAUGAUUGAUACCGGAGCUUGCUCCACCAUUAAUCAUGAGUCGCGAACGGGUGAGUAACGCGUAGGUAACCUACCUCAUAGCGGGGGAUAACUAUUGGAAACGAUAGCUAAUACCGCAUAACAGUAUUUAUCGCAUGGUAAAUGCUUGAAAGGAGCAAAUGCUUCACUAUGAGAUGGACCUGCGUUGUAUUAGCUAGUUGGUGGGGUAACGGCUCACCAAGGCAUCGAUACAUAGCCGACCUGAGAGGGUGAUCGGCCACACUGGGACUGAGACACGGCCCAGACUCCUACGGGAGGCAGCAGUAGGGAAUCUUCGGCAAUGGGGGGAACCCUGACCGAGCAACGCCGCGUGAGUGAAGAAGGUUUUCGGAUCGUAAAGCUCUGUUGUAAGAGAAGAACGUGUGUGAGGGUGGAAAAUUCACACAGUGACGGUAACUUACCAGAAAGGGACGGCUAACUACGUGCCAGCAGCCGCGGUAAUACGUAGGUCCCGAGCGUUGUCCGGAUUUAUUGGGCGUAAAGCGAGCGCAGGCGGUUUGAUAAGUCUGAAGUAAAAGGCUGUGGCUUAACCAUAGUAUGCUUUGGAAACUGUCAAACUUGAGUGCAGAAGGGGAGAGUGGAAUUC